GUCCAACCCAGUACAUACUACAUUUCUUCAGUCUUCCGCUCUCGGCAAAAAUUUUCUCUAAGGAUGAAGUCUUUUUUCUCGGAACUCCCGCGUUUCUAAGUCAUAUUUACUUUAGAUAUUCAGAGACCUGCCCUUAAUGCAAAUUAGGAAAGAGAAGUUUAUCCUAUAUAAGAGAGAUGCAAUCCAUCUAUUGCUUCAUGGACAGACUCGCUUCAAUUUUGUCUAUGACUUGAGAACAACAGCAUUCCUUUGAUAUGCGGUUUUGGCACAUGCAAUUCACUGGAGAUGGUACUGAAGAUUCUGAGCUUGAUAUGCUAAAUUCCCCCCCUUUAGGAGAGGUGGGACGCAGAUCACUUCCUUGAGGCAUUUCUCCUGCUCUCAACUUUUGCUGAGAGGUGAUUUCGACAGCAUGCGUCUUGGAAGGUGAUAUGCAACUCUGAGUGUGGUUUACAUGAUUCUUCCUCACAACUCUUGGUCUAGGUGCAGCUCAAAAUGCAGCAUAUUUAUGAAGGCGGCAAUCGAGUCGAAAAUGUGGGAGUGAAAGCGCCUUCUCAGCUGCUUCUUUGGUCUGUAAUCUACCCUCAAUUCUUCUAUGUGUGUGUGUGUGUGUAUAUAUAUAUAUUCCAUUUCAUCUUGAAUUGGGUAUAUGUAGGAGUGGGUGCCCCAAAUUAUGAUAUGAUAUAUAGGGUGUGUUUCAGCUCAUAUAGUAAUUUGGGUUUGAAAGAGAACUGAUUGGCUGGAAACUGCGACUUAGCCAGCAUUUGUUAGUUGUGGAAAAAGAGAGAUGAAAGGCAAAGGAGAGAACUAAUGAAAGAAAAACAACAUUAAAUCCCAAAGUAUGGUCCAAGAAAAAGUGUGAGAAACUGGGAAUAAGAACCUUUAUAAUGAAAGCAUUGGCCACUUUUCAAAUCUAUAAUGCUACAUGGACCAAUCAAGCAUAUGAAAUAUUCAAACAGAAAUGACAUAGAGAGUAGCAUGUAUGAGGUCCAUCAGGAAUAUCAUGCAUUUCCAAGCAGCAUAUACAAAAUUUUCUAUGCUCCCUGCAGAAAAGAGAAGGAUGGACAAAUAUUUGAAGGAUCCUUGUAUGGGUGGAAUAGAAAAAGCUAAGUGGAGGAUCUGCGGCUCCACCUUCGAGCCUUUCUCCGGGUCUUCUUCUUGAUCUUGGAUGAAGAAAGCUUGGAAAGCGAACGGAUUUUUGGAGCUGGUUGAUCUUCUACUGGCAGCUCAGGUUCUCCAACAGCGGGAGGAAGGGCCUCCCUCGGGCCUUCCUCUGGCACGCAAGAUUUUUCUACUUGAUGAAUCAUGACCUCCUCUAGAUUACUCAUCCUUUUAUUGUCGAUUAGAAUGUCACCUUCACCCUGCAUAGAUGCAAAUAAACUGUGGUUCAUAGUGAUAUUAAUGUUUAUAUAUAGACUGUGAGAAAAAGGUUUCUUCACAAUUAAUUCAUUUUAUCUGGUGAAAAAGUUACUGUGAUGGUAGCUCAAA